rnacentral:rRNA from 1 species
AACAAACGCUGGCGGCGUGCCUAAUACAUGCAAGUCGAACGGGGAAAGCUUUCGGGUGAGUACUAGUGGCGCACGGGUGAGUAACGCGUGGAUAAUCUGCCUUAGAGUGGGGGAUAACUAGUCGAAAGAUUAGCUAAUACCGCAUAAGACCACAAGAACUGCGGUUCAAGAGGUCAAAGGUUUUUCGCUCUAAGAUGAGUCCGCGUAAGAUUAGCUAGUUGGUGAGGUAACGGCUCACCAAGGCAACGAUCUUUAACUGGUCUGAGAGGAUGAUCAGUCACACUGGAACUGAGACACGGUCCAGACUCCUACGGGAGGCAGCAGUAGGGAAUAUUGCACAAUGGAGGAAACUCUGAUGCAGCGACGCCGCGUGAGUGAUGAAGGCCUUCGGGUCGUAAAGCUCUGUCGCAGGGGAAUAACACAAUGAGUGUACCCUGUAAGAAAGGAUCGGCUAACUUCGUGCCAGCCGCCGCGGUAAGAC